GUAGGGAAUAUUGCGCAAUGGACGAAAGUCUGACGCAGCGACGCCGCGUGAGUGAUGAAGGCCUUAGGGUCGUAAAGCUCUGUUGAAUGGGAAGAAAAAAAUGACGGUACCAUUCGAGGAAGGACCGGCUAACUUCGUGCCAGCAGCCGCGGUAAUACGAGGGGUCCUAGCGUUGUUCGGAAUCAUUGGGCGUAAAGGGUGUGUAGGUGGCCAUGUAAGUCAGGUGUGAAAGCCCCGGGCUCAACCCGGGAAGUGCACUUGAUACUGCGUAGCUUGAGUACCGAAGAGGGUAGGGGAAUUCCAGGUGUAGUGGUGAAAUACGUAGAUAUCUGGAGGAAAGCCGGUGGCGAAGGCGGCUACCUGGUCGAAUACUGACACUGAGACACGAAAGCAUGGGGAUCAAACAGGAUUAGAUACCCCUGUAGUCC
rnacentral:rRNA from 1 species